CCCAACACACAAAACAAGCGGUGAGUGCUUUGGGGUGGGGUGACUGCGUACCUUUUGUAUAAUGGGUCAGCGACUUAUAUUCUGUAGCAAGGUUAACCGUAUAGGGGAGCCGGAGGGAAACCGAGUCUUAACCGGGCGUUAAGUUGCAGGGUAUAGACCCGAAACCCGGUGAUCUAGCCAUGGGCAGGUUGAAGGUUGGGUAACACUAACUGGAGGACCGAACCGACUAAUGUUGAAAAAUUAGCGGAUGACCUGUGGCUGGGGGUGAAAGGCCAAUCAAACCGGGAGAUAGCUGGUUCUCCCCGAAAGCUAUUUAGGUAGCGCCUCGUGAAUUCAUCUCCGGGGGUAGAGCACUGUUUCGGCUAGGGGGCCAUCCCGGCUUACCAACCCGAUGCAAACUGCGAAUACCGGAGAAUGUUAUCACGGGAGACACACGGCGGGUGCUAACGUCCGUCGUGAAGAGGGAAACAACCCAGACCGCCAGCUAAGGUCCCAAAGUCAUGGUUAAGUGGGAAACGAUGUGGGAAGGCCCAGACAGCCAGGAUGUUGGCUUAGAAGCAGCCAUCAUUUAAAGAAAGCGUAAUAGCUCACUGGUCGAGUCGGCCUGCGCGGAAGAUGUAACGGGGCUAAACCAU
rnacentral:rRNA from 1 species